rnacentral:lncRNA from 1 species
UUUCAGUGGCCAACAGCACUGAAAUGGGUCCUUUUUAAUGGUGUUAAGCAUAAACGAGAUGCAAGGAUAUUCCAAGAACACUGUGAAACCUCAGUCUCUGGAAGAAACAGUGGAUUCUCAAGAGAACCAGCCUUCACGAUAAGAGCCCGUGCUGUGUAAGGGGAAAGGAUCAGGAAAUGAGCUGGUGCGAUGGAGAAAACAGGGAAGACAACCAGUGAGUUUCAGGGAUGGUCAAAGAAAGAAAUGAAGAUGGAUCCACCAACUUCUACUAAAUUUUCAAGAUUCAUAAUUUACCUUCAGAAAAGUAGGAAG